rnacentral:misc_RNA from 1 species
GAUGAAGAACGUAGCGAAAUGCGAUAAGUAGUGUGAAUUGCAGAAUUCAGUGAAUCAUCGAAUCUUUGAACGCACAUUGCGCCCUUUGGUAUUCCUUAGGGCAUGCCUGUUCGAGCGUCAUUUAAACCUUCAAGCUAAGCUUGGUGUUGGGUGACUGUCCGCUUCACGGCGGACUCGCCUCAAAAUUAUUGGCGGCCGGUACAUUGGCUUCGAGCGCAGCAGAAACGCGAACUCGGGCCCGUCGUAUUGGCUCCCAGAAGCUAUCUUCACAAUUUUUACCUCGGAUCAGGUAGGGAUACCCGCUGAACUUAAGCAUAUCAAUAAGCGGAGGA